rnacentral:rRNA from 1 species
UACGUAGGUGGCAAGCGUUAUCCGGAAUGAUUGGGCGUAAAGGGUGAGCAGGCGGUUCUUCAAGUCAUGAGUGAAAGGCAGAAGCUUAACUUCUGUUGGCUGAUGAGACUGGAGAACUUGAGUACAGGAGAGGGCGGCGGAACUCCAUGUGUAGCGGUAAAAUGCGUAGAGAUAUGGAAGAACACCAGUGGCGAAGGCGGCCUGCUGGGCUUUAACUGACGCUGAGGCUCGAAAGCGUGGGUAGCAAACAGG